rnacentral:lncRNA from 1 species
GACGACGUGACGGCUGCUGCGGUGGGGAGCCGGGGAGGCUCGCGCGGGCGCGGGAAGGAGGCGGGAGCCCGGUUGCUGAGGCCCCCCGUCCCCACGCCGCCACUGCGGCGCUGCCAGACAGCCAGGGGCGGGGGAGGCGGAGGGAGGAGGCGGCGAGCCCGCGGCGCGGGGCCUGGGCGGGGGAAACUCGCGCCCCAGGCUGUGGCCGGCAGGGAGCUGCUUCAGGGACAAGAUGUGGGGCUGGAUGUGCUCACGCCCCAGAGGCGACCCCCUCCUGCCCGCUGGCACGCCGCGGGGUCAAACUGUGCUCUCCAGCCGUGGCUUCCUCCCCGCCACCUGUUGCACCCCAUUGCUUCCCCAAGUGUCCUGGCUUCAACCUCCCUCUCUGGUUUUCCCAGCUCUCAGCCCACAAUCUUCAGUCCUUCGGAAUACAAGUCUUGUCGUAUGAAGGAAGCCGGGUAACUCAGCACCUUCCUUGGCACCGAGAAGAAGAGAGACAGGGGUCUCCCCAGCAAGCUCUGAUGUGAGGUAUUCCACAGGGCAAAUUCCCAGGUAUUUGGGGGCAGGGAGGACCCGCCAACAGAGGACCAGGCGGAGACAUUCACUGGAGAAUUUUCUCUGAACCCCAAGGGGGCACUGCCACAAUGUGGCUCCCGCUUUGGCCCCAGAAGCUGAGUGUGAGAGGGACCAACUGGAAUAGAGGAGGCUUUGGAAACCUCCUUGAGACUGGAUGGCCGAAUCUUUCUGGAGACUUGGCACCAGGUGAUAGCAGAAGAAGACACGAGAAGGCACAGAGGGGGAAGGGGAAGGGGCAGUGCCCCACUUCAGGGGAGACACGUCAAGAGUCUCAAGCAUACUUGGACUUCAUCUUCUUUCCCUAGACCCUUCUGAUUUGCUUCAGAAGGAGAAGGAAUGGCAAAGAUUUGUGUACCAAGCUGAUGCCAGACGCUGGCAGCAUCCUCACCUGUUGCUCCAGAAGGGGCUGUGUGCAUCCUUGAAGAGGCUUAGCUCUACCACACUCACCUACAACACCCUCUUCACCACCCCACCUCCCAAGCACAUCACUCUGCUUUGUCCUCUUCACAACACUGCUCACUCAUUGAUGAUUAUCUUGGGCAUUUUUUAUGAGCUUGUUUACAGUGGGUCUCUCCUACUGAAGUAAGCUCAGGGACAAACACACACAUGCAUACACACAAAAUGUGUCUGUUGGGGUCUCCACUGUAUCCCUAAGACUUAGCAGAGCUCUGGGUACACAAUAGGCACUCAACCAAAUGUGUCACUGAUUUGUGUGCAGCUGUGUGUGUCCUACUACCACUGAGUUAGUCCACUAGGACCUGGGGCUGCCUUCAGACUACGGUGCAAGACAGAAGAGACUGCAGGACAUGUUUAGGCUUGCACAGCCCCUCACCCCCGCCCCCCGACACACACCGGGAAGAGCCCCAUACUUUCUUUCAUGCUUUGCUGCUGAAAUUUUUAAUAAUUUUUGAACAAGUGGACCUGCAUUUUUCUUUUUUCCUGGGCCCUGCAAAUUAUAUAGCCAGUUUUGCCCUGGGCAGAAAUGCCGCAGAGCAGGGAACAGGCAAACACGCGGCUUUGCUGAGGCCAUGAGGAAGAGAAGGCUGCCAGUCCAUCCGCCUGCCGUCCUGUCCAACACCAGACUGCUAUGGAAAGGAGCAUGUCUGCCCUUACUGUAGCCAGCCUGGGAUUUGAAGUGUCCUGUAUGCAUGUCUCUUCCUCCACUGACAUUGGACCUCCGGGAAAUGAAGGAUGACAUACGGCACAGCAGAAAUUGAUCAUCAGCUGGAAAUGAUAUAUAACAGGGCCUCCUGGGGAUCCUCUGGAGCUUCCUGGUGAUCCUGGUCAGCCUGUCCCCUGAGAACCUGAAGGAAAAAGUGAGAGGGCACCUCAGGGUACACAAGCAAGCAGAGGCUGAUUCUGCAGGACUGACAGUAGAGAGGGGCCUAAGACGCUCCCUCUACUGACCUGAGUGCAGACCCCUCGACAAAGACCUCCCCAUCCCUGACACCAAUGAUCCCAGGAUGGGGGCCCCUGUGUUGACCUGAGUCAUCCUCGGAGAACAAGUUCCUCACCUCCCCGAGAUCUGAAAACAGGAAUGAGAUGGAGCUACAUCCUGUCACCCCCACAUGGGGUGUCCAGAGCCUGGACCCACUUCCCUCCACCAAUCUCAAGCCGCCACUCAGAGCGAGAACUUCGCUUCUCUUUGACCCCCAACGCCAAGUCAGUGGUGUCACAUCCGGGCACCCGGGGAUUCCCUCGGUUGAAAGCAGGGGCGAAACCGGAUUCUACCAGAAUAGCCUGGGCCCACUUCCCUCCUCCAAUCCCAAGCCGCCUGUCAGACCAAGAAGCUCGCUUCUCUCUGACCCCCAAUGCGCAAAUCAGUGGCGUCACAUCCAGGCCAGGGGCUUCCCGGGGUUGACAGCAGGGGAAGACCCAGAUUCUGCCAGGAUGGAGCUAUAGAGGGGUAAGGGUUGGGGAGAUGUCCACCGAUCUCAAGCUGCUCCUAAGACCAAGAACCUGGCUUCUCUCUGAUACCCAAUGCGCAAGUCAGUGGCAUCACAUCCGGGCCACCUGGCGCUUCUGGUUGAUUUGGGAAGCAGAGAAUAGCCGCCCAAAUUUGAUUGUAAUUUUGGCGGCUACAGAAUUCUUGUGGAAAAUACCACGACAGGGUCACUGCAGACUCCUUCUCCUCAGGCCCAAACAGUGUCUUGGAGGUCUCUGCCCCCACCGGGCUGAAAUCUGGAUUCAGAGCUCUCAGUGGCAGCCUGCCUGGGGCUCUGUGGACUUGAUUUCACAUGUGGUCUCUCUCGUGGACUCUGGUAAUUGCUCUUCCCUGCAUCCUCCUAAUGCCCCUUGCCAGCCGAGGGUGUCCUGUCUGCUCUCCUUCCCCGGCUCCUGACUAAAUCCUUUGAAAGCAGAGGAGAAGUUGAAAGGCCCUUUCAACAUAAAUUUCUACAUAAAUUUGACUUUGGGCACUGAUAUUUAGACAUCUGCUAUAAGAGAGAUUUCCAGGAAUGGGACAGAACACUCAGAGUACUUCUGCAGAGUGUAGGCAUGCUCUGUGUCACAGGGUGAGCAGGCGAUUCUAGGCUUCUCUACUGUGUUCUGGGCACAGCCUUUAGCAGAGACCACAGUGACAAGCUAGGCAGCAAUCCAAGUUCCAGAUUUGGGUAGGAGGGAACACUGGGGACAACCAGGGGAAGGGUGCUGUAAUGUGGGGAAGUGCUGGCUCUGAACAGAAAUGCCAGCUCCUGGGUACAGUCAGCUCUCAAGGAACCCUGGGGAUUGACACAGUAGGUCCCUGGAUUAAUAAGGUCCACAGGCCACCCUGAAAUGGUGUUUGAUUCUCAUUGUCACCUUCUCUAGGCCUACGACUGCUACCUUGGCCUCAGAGUCCCUAUUUUUGUCACCUGAGAGACAUGGUACAGUGCUGAGAAGAGAAAUGAAGUACUAUUCAAGAGGUCGGCCUCAGGCUGGGAGGAGUGGGAACAGCAUGGGCUCUACAGGAAUUCAGACCCACCAGGAGUCUGGUUCCAGCCCUAUUCCUUACUAGCCAUGUGAUUCUGGGAAAUGCCCAAGUCCUGUGAGCCUUGGGUUCUUUAUCUGUGAAGCAGGUGUGAUAAGCCCUGUCCAUUAGGACUACUGGAGUGUGUGCAAUAUAAGUGAAGAACCUGGCUCAGGGCCUGGCAUAGUUAGAAGUUUAAUGAAUGGCAGAUGGCUGUUAUUUCUAAUAUUAUUUGACCUCAGACCCCACCACAGUCUUCUCUGGAAUUUUUGUCAUUGUUAUCCAGUACAUCUCAGAAUAUGCAGCUCAGUGGAACAUGGAAUCCCAAAUCAGUCACAAAUGUUGCUUCACAUAUAAAACUCAGUAAAUUUUCCCUCUUAGAGGAUAUAUUUUCAACAUUUCAUGUGCAGGAGUUUCUCCCUGCUGGAUGCUGCUCAAAGUUCAUGGAAUUUGAGUCAAGUAUCAACUCCUUCCCUCUCUCCAAGGUUCUUUUCCAUCCAAAUCAUGAUUUUCAUUCAUUUCAUCACCACUCAAAAUCUAGCCCUUGCUUAGUGUUGUUCAAAUUACACUAAAAAUAACCCAAUUAAAAUGUUUCUCUAAUGGAGUCAGCUAACUUCUAGGCAUCAAUUCAUAGGCUUAUUUAUUAUGAGAUCCUUAUCUCUCAGGAGACCCUUGCAUAUGAUGGGUAUCUAUCACCUAGUUAUUUUUUUAAUUUAAUUAGGAGUUCAACUGCACUGAGACAAGAGUGCAGAACACCUUCCAUUCCUGCCCCAGGUGGACUCCUCUCUGUUCAUCCACCACCCAAAAGGAACUGCUCAGAGCAGUUUUACAUCCCAGGAUUUGCUCUGUCAACUAUGUGAGGCUCUGACCCUGGCACCACCCAGCUUCUUUGGAUUCAUCUUCACCAGAAGGAACUGCAGUUUCUCAAAGCCCCAAAAGUCCUGGCUCAGAGGAUGUACGUGACCACUCUCACCUACAGCCCAAUACCCUCACCCCGUCUUACUUUUCUUCUGGGUCUUAGAGGACAUCUUGCCACCUUGUUACUUGACUGCAGCCCCUAGACUCUACCACCCUAUGGGUAAAGGUGGUUCUGGCUUAACAUUUCCACUACAGACCCAGGGCCUUCCACAGACCAGAUGCUCAGUGGAUGUUUGGGGAAAAAAUGCACUAGUGAGCAAAGGUUUCAUUUAUUACAGUUUAAUUUCGACUUAACAAGAUCCAG